rnacentral:rRNA from 2 species
ACUCGAUCUCAAAUCAAGUAAGACUACCCGCUGAACUUAAGCAUAU